CAUUCCCAGUUAUGAUUUUCCAAAGACUUUACCAUUACCAUAAUGGGUUCCUUCCCUGGAAUCAGAUCUGGGCCUACAUGGGUUAGUGAAGAAAAAUGCCUAAUCACUGGGGGUCAUUCAUGCCUGUGUGUAAAUCAGAACUGGAUAAUGUUAAAAAAAUUAAGGCAGUCAAUGCUUUAUUGAUUCGUGCAUUUGGGGGGUCCCCUCUCAUUUCCCUUUUUUGUUUUGCUAGCAUGUUUUUUAUAAUUUGGUGUGUGCGCUCUAUCACUGUUUGACCUGUGUAAUUAACAUAGCCACCCACUACUCCAGGCAGCAUUAUUUUGGUAAGAUUACUCUGGUUCGAAGUCACUUGAACCUUUAUAACAUGUGGCAUAUCAGAGAAUCCUACACACCAUGUAACAGGAUGGAAUAAUGGGGGAUUUAACAAACGUGCCCAGUAUACUUGUCCAUUUCCCAUGGUCAUACAUAAUAGAACAGAUAUUGCAAAGAUUUCUGUCAUUGUCGUUUCAUUAUGUUGUUGAGUUCUGGGGCUUUAUAUGUUUUGCUGGCAGCCAGUAUGGUCCUAUCAAUAACUGUACACAGCCAUAUCCUCAGCCCCAUCUCAGCAAUGGCACUGGUCCUUUCCACUUGUUAUCCUGUAGGUCUUUAUACAGAACCAGUGGUUUGGGCAAGCAAUCACCUGUCAGAUGUCACAAUCGCUGUAUUGUGGAAAGAGAAUCAAAAUUAGACAAAUUUAAAAAAGUUAGUACAAAUUGUGCUUUU